rnacentral:rRNA from 1 species
UACGGAGGAUCCGAGCGUUAUCCGGAUUUAUUGGGUUUAAAGGGUGCGCAGGCGGGAGAUUAAGUCGGCGGUGAAAUUUUGCAGCUCAACUGUAAAAGUGCCUUCGAAACUGGUUUCCUUGAGUGUAGAUGAAGUAGGCGGAAUUUGUGGUGUAGCGGUGAAAUGCAUAGAUAUCACGAGGAACUCCGAUUGCGCAGGCAGCUUACUAAACUACUACUGACGCUCAGGCACGAAGGCGUGGGGAUCAAACAGGAUUAGAUACCCCGGUAGU